GGAUUGUGUUCAUCUCUACAGGAUCGAUGACGAGCCGUUCAGAGCCACGAUCCAGAAGACCUGUGACAGGAAGUGAAGACACACAGAAAGGUCCCAGAGGGUUACCUGUUGACCCGUGUCCAUCUCAAAAUGGUCCGCAGGCAUCCCAUAAUGCUGCGUUUGGGGGGGAGACGUUCUCCCUGUAAUCAAAGCACUGGGUUCUCUUG